AACGCACAUUGCGCCCGCCAGUAUUCUGGCGGGCAUGCCUGUCCGAGCGUCAUUUCAACACUCGAGCCCCCCCGGGGGCUCGGCGUUGGGGAUCGGCAGCCCCCCGGCCCUCCUUGCGAGGGGCGGGGAGCCGUCCCCGAAAUCCAGUGGCGGUCUCGCCGCAGCCUCCCCUGCGCAGUAGCUUGCACACUCGCACCGGGAGCGCGGCGCGGCCACGCCGUAAAACACACCAAACUUCUGAAAUGUUGACCUCGGAUCAGGUAGGAAUACCCGCUGAACUUAA
rnacentral:misc_RNA from 1 species